rnacentral:lncRNA from 1 species
ACUCUUCUCUCUCUCUCUCUCUCUCUCUCUCUCUCUCUCUCUCUCUCUCUCUCUCUCUCUCUCUCUCUCUCUCUCUCUCUCUCUCUCACAUUUGCUUCACGUCGCCAGAAUCAACAUCAUCCACCACCAUCUCAGCCCGAAGCUUUCAUCCACCACCAUCUCAACCCGAAGCUUUCAUAUAUGUGAAGCUCAGCGUCGCCGCCGGAGCUCCGGCAAAGCCACAACGACUCCACCUCCCAAUCACAACUACAUCAACACCUGAUUUCCCACAUCAAGCAAAAUGAGAACCUUUCCUCUGAGAAACUCAUACCGAAUACAGUUUCCAGCAAUCUCAGGCAAACCUUGACUCAAUUGAGCCACCACCUCUCAAGCUUGUCAUCUGGAAAUUCAGCUACCGCCUCUAGAAUGCUACAUCGAUGUCUCCAACACCAGGGCCUUAACGAUCACCAAAUUGGCUGAAAUUUUGCAGAGAUGAUCUACACAAGAUGAUCUAUAUAUGUCUAGAAGGAAGUUUGAGGAAAUUCGAUCGAAAAGUGGUGCAAAAAUGGAAAUCCGCACCAAAAAAUCGGUGCGAACGUCCGCAGCUGAGAAAAUCUAUAUAUAUAUAUAUAUAAAGUAUCUAAAGAGGACCUUCUUACUUUAAGAAUUUGAGGAUUCCUACUAUUUUACAUUAGUAAAUGACUUCACUUAACGAUCUCAACCGUUGAUUCUCUAGAUUCAAACGCAAGAAACAUGUCUAUAAAAUUUUGGUCAUUCAAAUUGACGUAAACAAUUGUAGACCGUUAGAUAAAAUUAAAACGAAUAUUGUGCUAAUCAAAUAGUUAAACAUUUUUCAUUUUGGCUAAUUUUUUGUAUGAUUCAUAUGUGGGUAAGUAGCUAGGGAUUUGGUGGCUUUGAUUGUCAAAAUACAUGCUAGAACAAAAUACAUACUUACUUUAAGAGUUUAAAGAGGUUAUCUCUAGAUCCAGAC